GGGUUGUGAGGUUAAGCGACUAAGCGUACACGGUGGAUGCCCUGGCAGUCAGAGGCGAUGAAGGACGUGCUAAUCUGCGAUAAGCGUCGGUAAGGUGAUAUGAACCGUUAUAACCGGCGAUUUCCGAAUGGGGAAACCCAGUGUGAUUCGUCACACUAUCAUUAACUGAAUCCAUAGGUUAAUGAGGCGAACCGGGGGAACUGAAACAUCUAAGUACCCCGAGGAAAAGAAAUCAACCGAGAUUCCCCCAGUAGCGGCGAGCGAACGGGGAGCAGCCCAGAGCCUGAAUCAGUGUGUGUGUUAGUGGAAGCGUCUGGAAAGGCGCGCGAUACAGGGUGACAGCCCCGUACACAAAAAUGCACAUGCUGUGAGCUCGAUGAGUAGGGCGGGACACGUGGUAUCCUGUCUGAAUAUGGGGGGACCAUCCUCCAAGGCUAAAUACUCCUGACUGACCGAUAGUGAACCAGUACCGUGAGGGAAAGGCGAAAAGAACCCCGGCGAGGGGAGUGAAAAAGAACCUGAAACCGUGUACGUACAAGCAGUGGGAGCACGCUUAGGCGUGUGACUGCGUACCUUUUGUAUAAUGGGUCAGCGACUUAUAUUCUGUAGCAAGGUUAACCGAAUAGGGGAGCCGAAGGGAAACCGAGUCUUAACUGGGCGUUAAGUUGCAGGGUAUAGACCCGAAACCCGGUGAUCUAGCCAUGGGCAGGUUGAAGGUUGGGUAACACUAACUGGAGGACCGAACCGACUAAUGUUGAAAAAUUAGCGGAUGACUUGUGGCUGGGGGUGAAAGGCCAAUCAAACCGGGAGAUAGCUGGUUCUCCCCGAAAGCUAUUUAGGUAGCGCCUCGUGAAUUCAUCUCCGGGGGUAGAGCACUGUUUCGGCAAGGGGGUCAUCCCGACUUACCAACCCGAUGCAAACUGCGAAUACCGGAGAAUGUUAUCACGGGAGACACACGGCGGGUGCUAACGUCCGUCGUGAAGAGGGAAACAACCCAGACCGCCAGCUAAGGUCCCAAAGUCAUGGUUAAGUGGGAAACGAUGUGGGAAGGCCCAGACAGCCAGGAUGUUGGCUUAGAAGCAGCCAUCAUUUAAAGAAAGCGUAAUAGCUCACUGGUCGAGUCGGCCUGCGCGGAAGAUGUAACGGGGCUAAACCAUGCACCGAAGCUGCGGCAGCGACGCUUAUGCGUUGUUGGGUAGGGGAGCGUUCUGUAAGCCUGCGAAGGUGUGCUGUGAGGCAUGCUGGAGGUAUCAGAAGUGCGAAUGCUGACAUAAGUAACGAUAAAGCGGGUGAAAAGCCCGCUCGCCGGAAGACCAAGGGUUCCUGUCCAACGUUAAUCGGGGCAGGGUGAGUCGACCCCUAAGGCGAGGCCGAAAGGCGUAGUCGAUGGGAAACAGGUUAAUAUUCCUGUACUUGGUGUUACUGCGAAGGGGGGACGGAGAAGGCUAUGUUGGCCGGGCGACGGUUGUCCCGGUUUAAGCGUGUAGGCUGGUUUUCCAGGCAAAUCCGGAAAAUAAAGGCUGAGGCGUGAUGACGAGGCACUACGGUGCUGAAGCAACAAAUGCCCUGCUUCCAGGAAAAGCCUCUAAGAAUCAGGUAACAUAAAAUCGUACCCCAAACCGACACAGGU
rnacentral:rRNA from 1 species